CUCAAAUCUCUGAGCUUCCAUUUCUCCAUCUGUCACGACUGGAAGUGUGGCACGCCCCUCUGCCACUGCCUGCUCUCAGCGACAGAGCUCAACAGGACUUAAUUGUUCAAGCUGGUGCCUCCCUUCCCUGCUUCCUUGGUUAAUUGUGCUUCAAGGCCCCGCCAGGAAGCACCCCAGUGUGCCCUGAGAUCUUCACAUUCUCUUUCUACCAAGACUUCGACACAGCAUGAAGAGUUUUGAGGGAGGAUGAAUGUAUUUUGGCGUCCAUAAAAGAAGGAAGUUUAACAUUUGAACAAGAGGACAAUUUGUGGCAGAUGUAUAUUUUUCUCAAUUAUUUGCUGCUCUACUGUGGGAGAAUUAUACUUCCUGCUUUUUUCAAGUCAGGCUUUGUCGUAUGACUUGAUUUUUCUCCCUGCUGCAACAGAACGACAUGCCCAAAUGGGGACUGCACAUUAAGCAUGGGUCUCAGAAUGAAGAGUGAGAAGAGAGGUGCCAUCUACCUCAUCUGAUAUGAAACACAAGUGUAAGUGGCAACCACUAGGUGUCUUAAAGGUAUAAGUGACAUUGACUUCCCUUCUAAUUCCAUGAAGGGUGGAAGAGGAUAUAGUAGGAAUCCUAGCCCACCAAUCCCAAGUGAUCUGUGAGAAUCUCAGGCUACCUUCAUUCUCCUGGAUUUUUCCAGAUUUGUGAUGGUUUGAGACUUCCCCUCUUCUUCCAUCAUCAUUUGGGCAGGUUGGAAUUAUUAAGAGGUUGGCUGGGACUCCGUGAGUCAGAAAGUUGAAGGUUUGGGGAACGUGUUGGCUGUUUUCUCCAAUCCUAACCUCUAUUAGCCAAUUGGAAAUUGCAUUUCAGAUGUCUUGGCUGAGGUGACUUCAGAAAUCACUAUCACUUAAGUUUAUUUCAGCUACCAUAAAAUGGGCAACUGAGACAGAAGUAUUCUCCCAGAAUACCUCUGUCAUGAAAUCAUGUGCCAA